rnacentral:rRNA from 1 species
GACGAACGCUGGCGGCGUGCUUAACACAUGCAAGUCGAACGGAAAGGCCCUGCUUUUGUUGGGGGCUCGAGUGGCGAACGGGUGAGUAACACGGGAGUAACCUGCCCUUGACUUUGGGAUAACUUCAGGAAACUGGGGCUAAUACCGGAUAGGAGCUCCUGCUGCAUUGUGGGGGUUGGAAAGUUUCGGCGGUUGGGGAUGGACUCGCGGCUUAUCAGCUUGUUGGUGGGGUAGUGGCUUACCAAGGCUUUGACGGGUAGCCGGCCUGAGAGGGUGAACGGCCCCAUUGGGACUGCGAUACGGCCCAGACUCCUACGGGAGGCAGCAGUGGGGAAUAUUGCACAAUGGGCGGACGCCUGAUGCAGCAACGCCGCGUGCGGGAUGACGGCCUUCGGGUUGUAAACCUCUUUCGCCUGUGACGAAGCGUGAGUGACGGUAAUGGGUAAAGAAGCACCGGCUAACUACGUG